GUGCCAGCCGCCGCGGUAAAACGUAGGAGGCGAGCGUUAUCCGGAUUUACUGGGUGUAAAGCGCGAGCAGGCGGUUCCGUAAGUGGUGCGUGAAAGCGCCCUGGCUCAACCGGGCGAGGACGUGCCAGACUGCGGGACUUGAGAGAGGUAGAGGCGAGUGGAAUUCCGGGUGUAGUGGUGAAAUGCGUAGAGAUCCGGAGGAACACCAGUGGCGAAGGCGACUCGCUGGGCCUAUUCUGACGCUCAGACGCGAAAGCAUGGGGAGCGAACGGGAUUAGAAACCCUAGUAGUCC
rnacentral:rRNA from 1 species